rnacentral:tRNA from 1 species
GGGGGCGUAGUUCAAUUGGUUAGAGCGCCGGCCUGUCACGCCGGAGGUUGCGGGUUCGAGCCCCGUCGCUCCCGCCA